UGGGGAAUAUUGCACAAUGGGCGCAAGCCUGAUGCAGCCAUGCCGCGUGUGUGAAGAAGGCCUUCGGGUUGUAAAGCACUUUCAGCGAGGAGGAAGGUGGUGAGCUUAAUACGCUCAUCAAUUGACGUUACUCGCAGAAGAAGCACCGGCUAACUCCGUGCCAGCAGCCGCGGUAAUACGGAGGGUGCAAGCGUUAAUCGGAAUUACUGGGCGUAAAGCGCACGCAGGCGGUUUGUUAAGUCAGAUGUGAAAUCCCCGGGCUCAACCUGGGAACUGCAUUUGAAACUGGCAAGCUAGAGUCUCGUAGAGGGGGGUAGAAUUCCAGGUGUAGCGGUGAAAUGCGUAGAGAUCUGGAGGAAUACCGGUGGCGAAGGCGGCCCCCCUGGACGAAGACUGACGCUCGAGUGCGAAAGCGUGGGGCAGCAAACAGGAUUAGAUACCCUGGUAGUCCACGCUGUAAACGAUGUCGAUUUUGGAGGUUGUGCCCCUUGAGGCGUGGCUUCCGGAGCUAACGCGUUAAAUCGACCGCC
rnacentral:rRNA from 1 species